UUCAGAUGAAGUCUUAAGGAGCUGUAGUGUCCGUCCUGCCAGAAGGAAUGUCUCUGCUUGGAACAAUCCUUAUUGACAUGGCAGCUGUGUGAGGACCAGCACAGAGGCUUAAACUGGCUCUAAAAAUCAGUUAAUACCCUAAAGUCUGGAGCAAGUGCGCAGAAUUACAAUGUGUAUGGGGGGCAGGGGAGCGGCUGUAAGUACAGCUACGUCUCUUAAAAGACAAACGGAAUGAGGACAUACAAGACGUUGGCGACAACUGGGAAGACAACCGUGUGGGUGCUGUGAUUGUGGGCCCUGGGGUCAGUGAGAAGUGGUGCUCCUUCUCGGAGGCUGUGCCGGGCCGCCAGCCUUUCUCCUUGUGUUUAAUCCAACAGAUCCCGUAACUAGAAAAGAAAAGUGCUAUUCGCUUUGUACCAUCGAGCCUACCUGCUAUUUCGAUCUCUUGGUCAGGGUAACCAAUUGUUAUAAAUGUUAAUUAUUGGCUCGGAUAUAUAAGGUUUCCCAAAAUGGAACCUUUCACUGAAAACCACUAAAAGAGGUAAAAUGACAUGAAUUUACAAACCACAUAAACCAAAUGAUCCAUUUUAAAUCGCGCACAGAAAGGUUAGAGUUGUUCUAGUAACUUAAAACCUUUGCUGUCAAUGCAAAUCACACGAAAAACAGAGAUGCGUCGGAGAUUUAAAGGGAACGAGCAACUCCAGCUGCUGCCCCCGCCGCUCCGUGGCUCCCGAGGGUAACGCGGCUGGCGAGGGGCGCCCGACGCCGGGUUUCGGCUCUUCUGUGCCUCUGCUGCGCAGAGCGAGGUGUUUUUGGGGCUCACGGCCUGCUUUCUUGGAAUUCCUUCGCCAUCAAGAACGACAGCGGGGAUCCUGCUCUAGCUACGUAUAUUUGGAAGGGAAAGGCAACAGGAGGCGUUUCUUUAACAAAUUAGCGUCGUCGCUCUGCGGCAGUGCAGAGACUGCCCAAAUCCUGGCUGAAGUGACAGCAUCCAUCCUUUUUCCUCUGCUUGGUCGGAAACUCCGGGUGCCCUCGACCCUUGGGAUGCGGGGCUCCCCGAGGCCGGCGGCCGGAGCAGCCGCCCACCUGCCUCCUGGGGGACGCCGCUCCCCGCGAGGUCUGAAUAGGCCGAGGGCUCAGGCAGGGCGAUUUGCGGACCCGGAGAAGAGAAACCCAAAACCAGUCCAUUAGUAAAUGAGUUUUGUGUUGUCAAGGUUCUUUCCCAUCCACUUGCUGUUCUGAAAAAUAGAUCACGUUUCGUUAUCUUUAGUGGGAAUCUGCAACGUGACACCGGAUCCGCGCGGCCCCCGCCUGUCUCCCUCCCUCUCUUCCAGCCUCGCUCCGCCGGGCCAAGGGGAGCCGGCCGGCUUCCUCGGCUUAUUUCUGAACAAUGAAGAUUUGUCUGUUCCCCUAAUAUAUUUAUGUAUGGAGGGAAGGAGGGAGUUUUCUCCUGGAAGCGGGAAGCGCGCGAGCAGGGCCUCCCGCUUCCUUGGUGCGAAAACCCAGCGCCAGCCCAGGACGCCGGCCGGCCGCCCCCCGCCCACACCUGGACAAACAGAGCGGGCCGCGCGCGGCUGGCUGCUGAAAACCCCGCCGCCCCGCGCGCCUCCUGAAUUACAGUCUGCACAUUGUCCCGGGGUCAGGGAAGGGAGAGACAGAGACUGACUGAGGGACACCGCUGCGAGGGAGCUCAGAGUGAAGAGGGACAGAACUGGGGGGUGUGUAUUUGGAGGGGUUACACUCUCCCUCUUUGUGUGUCCCCACGUCUGGUCUCUCUCUGAAUGUGUCUUUCUCUGUGUCUCUUUCUAUCUCAUUCUCUCUUUUCACUCUGAAAGAAGAAACUCGUUCAUUCUGUGUGAACCUCUGGUUCUCAUUCUUUCUUUCUCUCUUAUCUCUCUCUCUCACUCUCGCUCUUUCUCUCACUGUCUCAUUCUUCUCAUUGUUUCUCCUGUCUCUCUCUCCUCUGUCUCUGUCUCUCUCUCCCCUACCCCCACCUCUGGAUCUCUGUAUUUCUCUCUCCGGUUCCCCUCCCUCCCGCAUGGCUCUGGGUGCCUGUGCCUAUUUCUUUCUGCCCGGGACCAGGCGCUCCGAAGUUUCACAGACACAGCGUGCUGAUGUCGGGCACCCAGGCAGCGCCGGGCGAGCAGACUCUGAAGUCCCGCCAGGGCGUCGGCUCUGUCAGCGGGACCCCGCCAUGCUGAGUGGAGGCGUCGUCUAAGGGUGGCACGGGUAGGCGGAAGAAGGUGGGUUGGCCACCUGGAGGAAAAGGGCCGACUUCAAUUGCGCUCUGAGAAGGCUCAGGCUCAGGGACUCGCCAAGCGCCAGACUUAGCCAGAAGACGCACUCAACAUCAGAUGCCAAGCACCUUUCUGGAAAUGCCUGAAGCUCCCAACCUGUUCCUGACCCAAAGCCGAGGCCAGAAGCUUAGCCGGGUGAUGUUAGAAUAUGACCCCUUCUCUCCCAACCUCUGAGGGUUCAUCGCUCAGAAUCCUUAACCUCUAGGGACAAAGGCCCAACACUUCUUUCUGGCCGGUGCCAUUGGGAGUGGGCCAAGAGUGGGCACUUGCGCCGGACCUCCCUCUCCCCUCCGUAAUCUUCUGGCUCGCUUCCCCUACCCCAGGUCCAGGCCUGGCAGCGAGGCGAUCAGCACGUUCGCGGCAUUUGUAUUCUUCCAUUUCUCAGCCUAAAGCCAUUUAGCGUAACCCGAGCCCAGGAUAAUUGCCACGUUUCUGCCGCGAUACUUCUAAAAACAAGAUAAUGCUUCUGAAUUGCGGAAGAAAGUACUGCGGACAAAUUGGGCGCGGAGCGGCCGAGAUGGAUCGCUUUGUUAGGGGCGGCCCGUGGUUUGUGACUCAAUUAGUGCAUUUCUGGGAGCUGCCCGCCCUCUGCAGCCCGGUCAGCUCGAGGCGAACUCCCCCUGUGGCUCCCGGGCGCCGGCAGGGCGUGGGGGAGCACUUCGGGCCUGUACCUAUGUCGGUGCAAAGCCACGCCGCGGGAAAUGUUUUUGUAUUCCCACACGAGUACAUUGCUCGGGUUCUAAAGGAUCCAGAUUUUCGCGGACAGAAGCUUGACUGCCUCUGCUCCGGUAUGAGCCGCGCGGCGUUUGUCUGAAGCACGGUCCUCUGCGCUGUGGGGAAAGAAGCGCCGGGUGGAGGCUGCCGGGAAGGGGCCCACUCCCCCACGCCCCCGCGCGCGUCGCCCACCCGCCAGGGCCUGGACUUGGCAACAACGUUUGCAACCCUGCUGCUGUCCUUGGCGCAGCCGGCAGGGUGAGGCUUCCAGGCAGCCGGCGGACCGCGAGGGGCGCUUUUCGGGCUUGGAACGAGGCCGUCAGAGCUUUUCUUGCCUCUGCUCGAGUCCACCCGCCACCCCCACCCAUCGCCCCGCAUGCAGGCCGAGGUUCGGGGGAAGCCGCUCUGCCAGAGCGUUUGAAAAUGAGAUCAUGGAAACACAGACACCAGACUCUUUGCUAUUGGAAGAAGCCAAGAGGUCAUCAGUUGAACCUGCCACUCUAAGCAGAAUCUCUCAGAAAACGUGCUUGAUGGGACAGCCCUAGCUUGGCUUAACCACUCGAGCAUAGGAGAACUCACUACCUCACAUCUGUUUUGCAUGUUUCAAGACUCACCAAAACAGGAAAGGUGUACAUGGCGGAAACAAAGUCACGUGGCAUCCAUGGUCCUGUACAAACUAGAUAAAACGUGAGAGAAACACGGAGUGGAUCUUCUUAUUACUUAUUGGUCAAGCAGAAAGUUAGAGUAAACUGUACUAGCUAAACUGCUUUCUCAAGUUUCCAUUUUAGGCAUUUCUACUGUUUGCCCACUGCCUAGUAGGCUGCCGGAGUUCACUAUAGGAAAAGUAAAUAUUGUCAUUUCAAAUAAAGAACUGUUUAUUAUAUAACAGAACAGAGGCUGCCUUCUAUUUUUGAGACUCUGCUAAGUUAAUUGGGGACAGUAGCCAAAGCAGCUGCCCAGGAGAUGGUGUUUUCCAAUAGCUACAAUCCUUAAAGCUAAACUGGCUUCAUGUUUGUCUACAAAGUGGCAAUCGCAUUGCUUUCUUCAUUGAAUGUUCUUUGGCUCCUGUUUGGGUGGGUAAAUGGGGGCACCAUUUGUACUACUUUACCAGCCCGUUUGACUCCUACAGUGAGGGCAAACCAUAAGCCAAGACACAUCAAAGCUAAACCUGAU
rnacentral:lncRNA from 1 species